rnacentral:lncRNA from 1 species
AGUAUAUAUAGAAAGGGACAAAUUAACAGGUAUGGAGCAUCUGUGAGUGAGGCACUGUUCUAGGAACCUUCAAGAUGGUGUCAUCAAACUCUCACAGUAAUGCAGGGUAAGAGUUUGGAAGGCUUCAAAAAUUGUCAUUAUUUUUCCCCCACUCCACAUAUCCAUGCCUUUUGUAGUGUGCCUUUGUGGCUCUUACCAUCAAGUAGAAUAGUCUAUUUCUACACCCACUUGAAUCUGGGCUAGCCUUGUGACGUGUUUUUAAUAGAAUGCAGCAGAAGUGACAUUCUGCCAGUUCUGAGCCUAAACCUGUAGGAGGUCUAGCAUACUUCCAUGUAGCCACCAUGAGAACAAGCCCAGGCCCUCUUUUUGGAGGAUGAAUGAGAGAUGGGCUAUAGAUGAGCCAUUGUGACUGAAGCCCAAACCUGUAAGACAGCCCAGGCAAGAUUAGGAAACCAACCCCCAGUCAACCCUCGGUUGGCCAUAAACACUUGAGUAAGCCAUGCCCAAAACAGCUGAGCCAGAGCAGAACUAUGAACUAACAAGUGUUUGUUAUUUUAAGCCACUGACUUUGGGAGGUGGUUUGCUGUACAGCAAUAGUUAAUUGAUACAAGAUGAUAGUCUUAUUUCCUUUUAAGAUAGGAUGAAAUUAAGGCAUAGAGAGAUGAAAUAAUUUAUCCAAGGAGGCACAGCUAGUAAGUGGGGAAACUCAAGAUUCAAUCCAAGCACUAAAUAAAUCUAAGGUUUCUUCUUCCACUACAACCUCUGCCAGUAGAAUGGAAACAAGAAGAAAAACUAACAAAACCAAAUGUCAUAGCUAUUUAAAUAUGACAAAACUGAAAUCACUUCCCCAGCUGUCUUCUGGAUAGUAUGUAAUGUGUGUGCAUCUGUAUAUGUUUGCAGAGAACAAUCUAUUCAAUGGAGAGAAUGAGAUGCAAACAGAAGUUUAUUUGGGAUUCUGGACGAGUGGAGAGGAGGAAUUACUUGUAUGGCUUUGCCCAUUUGAGGAUUCAACAUCUUGGGAUUGCUUCUAACAGGAUGCUGCAGAUCAAGGGAAAUCCUCCAGGAGAGAGUUGUUGCCUGAGGCCCAUGAAGAAAAAGCACAAAAUCUUGUGAUAACAGAAAUAGGUCCAAACUGAUGGUUUGAGUUGUUAAGUCGUAUCUAGUUUACCUUCUGGAAUUCCAACAUUUAACAAGCGUGUUUUGGGGGGCAGAGUGGUUUAGAGAAGGGAUGAAACAACUUACAAGAAAAUUGUUUGACUUAAAAGGUUCAAAUGUACUAUUCUACUUAUAUUUUGAAGGCAAAUAAAGCUUGAUUGAGCAACUAAGUUAAUCAUUGACUCGCACUUGUUCCAUUAAAUUGAUAUGCCAUAGGUAAGUAUAAACUUAGUUUCUUCCUUUUUCAAGGUUGUUUCCUAACUGGGCAGAACAAUGACACAUUAGUUUUGGAUUAUCUGUAAUCUAGUCUAAUUUUUGUAAUUAUUAUUAUUUGAGAUUAUCUUAAUCUAGUAAUCUGAUCAUUGUGGCUGGAGAAAGCCAGUCACUCUAGCACAACAGAUCUUUAGAUAUGUCCAGAAAAAGAAUGCUCAAUGUGCCGGUGGCCCUUGAAUUGCACCCAUUGGUCCAAGUUCCUGGAGCUUAAGCAAAGACGAUGCAAAUAAUAUCCACUGACCAUUUGCCACUGCUGCCUGAGGGACCAGACUGUGAUGAAAUAGUUGAAUUUACAAGACAAACGCUUCAUGAAGACAAGAAAUGACUCAUCAUUGAGAAGAAAAGGAGGCGGAUGUAGCAUAUGCCUAACAUAUCUAAGUGACUCUCUGGAGAAGGGCUCAUUGCCAGCAAAUAGGACAUUACCCUCACCAAGCGAUUUAAGAGAAAAUCCUAGGCAUUCCAUUAUUUUCACCAGUUAAAGUUUAUCCAAUAUUUGACUGAAUGAAUAAGAAGCUAUGCAUUGUUAUCACAUUGAAGCAGUGAUGUAAAUGACAAGAAAGCUGUAAACAGAUAUAAGAAAAGAAUGAAGUUUGUGGCUGGGUAGGGGAUGAACAUUCAUUGAGAUCUGGGCAUUACAUACCACAUGAAAUGCUUUACAAUAUAAGGUUUUUCAACCUCAGCACUAUUGACAUUUGAGGCCAGAUAAUUUUUUGCUGUGGGGAGCUGUGCUGUACACUGCAGGAUGCAUUGCAAGAUCCUUGGCCUGAAUUCAAUAGCUGUCAGUAGCACUGUUCCCCAAUUGAAACAACCAAAAAUAUCUCAAGACGUUGCUAAAUGUUCCUUGAGUAGGAAAAUCUCCAUUGGUUGAAACUGUGACUUUACAAUAAUAGUAAUAGCUAAUAUUACUAAUUAACCAUUAACUAUUAAACCAUUAACCUUUAUUAAAGGUUUACUAGAUAUCAAGUGUUGAUUUAAACCCUUUCUUUUAUGUUUACCUUUUUUAUGAUCAACUCUAUCACUCAUAAAAAAUAGUGCAGAAAACAAAAUGUAUAGCUGAAUGAUUUAUCAAGCAGGGAACAUCUAUGUAACCACCAACCAGGUUAGGGGGAUAAAAGGACAUUGCCAUCUUUAGAAGAUGCCAUCUUUAGAAGCUUCCAUUGUACCCCCCACCAAAUCUCAAAAAACUAUCUGCCCCACAAGGUAACCACUGUCCUAAACUUCCUUGUCUUACUUUAUAGUUUAACUACUUAAACAUGUAUCUCUAAAGCUAUAGUUUACCUGUCAUGCAACCAUUCUCAGGCAUUUACAGGUGGAUGUGUUCCAUUAAAACAAAAAGUAAACCAAAAAGAAAACGACUUGCAGUUUAGGAAACAGAGGAGACAACACAAGAAUCCUCAAGGUGAUGAGGAGGAUCAUUUCAGAAUAGCAGCUGGCACCUAACACAAAAGGACCUGGCACCCACCAGCCCACAAUGGAGCAAGUAAGACAGACUCAGGAUAGAUUUCUUCAAGGAAAUGUCAUCAGUAUAAGUGCCUGAUGCAUCUGAAUGUACCAAGAGGUGAUUUGGACAGCUGGUGGAACUUUUUGGCUUCACUUAGAGAAAGGUGCAUAGGAAAUUAAACAAAUAAAGGAUAAUUUCACUAUGAAAAACAAAAAACAGUGCAAAAAAGUUAUCCUAGUACACUAUGUGACUCAAUCAUAAAUUAUUUACAUUGUCAUAGUGUAAACACUGAGUAUUGCUCUAACUGAUAUAACUAUAUUCAUGUACAGGAUAAGGGAAAGUGUGGUGAUAAGAUGGAGAGGUAUAUGAAAAUUGAGGGAAUUAAAUCCUCCCAAGUUAUGAAGCCAAUAGAUAAUGCCUAACAGAAGCAUGUUUUUUAGAGAUAUGAUGGUAAAUAUCUAAAGUAUUCACUUAGAAAGAUGAAAAUGGUUGCCUCUUAGGAGGAAGAAAUGGGAGUAAAAUGAAGCCUACUGUUUUUCAUAUCAAACUUUGUAACACUACUUGACUCUUAAGUCAUGUGCAUGCAAAUUUUUAACGAAAAUGAAUACUUUAAAAUUCACUUUACAAGAGGUAAUUAUGAUACAGGUAAAUCCAUAAGUAGUGCUUGAAGCAAAAUAAAUAGAAAAUAGAUAGUGUAUGCAUAAACCCAGGUUUAACAUACUUUUCCUGAAUGAUCAUUUGCAAAUAGGUAGUGCAGUUGUUUGGGGUUCUCCAGAAAUAAAAAUGAAAUGGCAGUAAACUCACCUCAUCCCAUUCAAGCAAAAAUGUUAAGGGAUGUGUCUGUAAGAUACAAGGCACCACAGUGCAACUGGCCCUUUGUAUCCACAAGGCCAACCAACCACAGAUCAGAAAUUCUCAAUAAAUAAAAAAAAACAACAAUAAAAAUAAUACACAAUUUUAAAAAUACAGUAUGAUAAUCAUUUACAUAGCAUUUACCUUGCAUCAGGUAUUGUAAGUAAUCAAGAUACUGAAAGCAUAUGGGAGGAUGUGCAUAGGCCAUAUGCAAAUACAGCAUCAUUUUAUACAAGGGACUUGAACAUCUGUAGAUUUUGGUACCCUGGAGGUCCUGGAACCAAUCUCCUAUGCAUACCGAGGGAUGACUUUACAGGGAAAUUUAAAUGCUCAGGAAGAAAGCUCUUCUUCCCAGUGAAAUAAGUAUUCACUCACCUUCUAUAUUUUAACAUAAUUCUUGCUUUCUAGAUCACGCAUUAUAAGAAGAGUUAUCAAGAAUAUCCUACUAUUUCAAUUAUUUCAGCCUGGAGAAUACCUGGCACCUCAAACUUCCAAAUCCUUUGUCUUCCCAAGGAGGUAUCUGAGGUGCUCAGUGACCACUGAAAGUUUCCUAGGGAGGACACAGAUGCUGUGGAGUGAGCACAGACAUGUGUGUCAUGUCUAUUUUGGUUCAAAUCCCAGUUCUAUUCUUAAUAGGUGUCUCAUCUUGGUGAAAUUAUUUAAUCUCUCUUAAUCACAGCUUUGACAUCUAAAAAUACAAGGAUAAUAAUGCCUACAUUGCUCGAUGUUUCUCAAAAUCAAAUAGAUAGUUUUUAUAAAGUUCUUGGCACAUAGAUGGUUCUCUAGCAAAUUUAGCUAAUGUUAUAAUUAUUGUCAUCAUUAUAAUUAUAAUUAUUAUUAUUACUACCGCUGUUGCCAAUGGUAUUACAUCCAACCCACUGCACAGUGCCUUUAUAAAACAGCUCCUGCUUCAUUUUUCUCCGCUUCUAUGGAUUCCAAUCUUGCUGAGGCCACUGGGUCUUGGCUGAUUUUUGGUUUUGGUUUUUGAUUUUUUUGAGACAGGGUCUUACUC